GUCAGGAUGGCCGAGCGGUCUAAGGCGCUGCGUUCAGGUCGCAGUCCACUGGGCGUUGGUUUCAAAUCCACAUUUUUUGACA